CAACUACUCCCUCUGUCCAAAAUUUCUUGUCUUAGAUUUGUCUAGAUACGGAUGUAUCUAAUACUAAAAUGUGACUUGAUACAUCCGUAUCUAGACAAAUCUAAGACAAGAAUUUUGGGGCGGAGGGAGUACUUU
rnacentral:pre_miRNA from 1 species